UAACAAGGUCUCUGUUGGUGAACCAGCGGAGGGAUCAUUG
rnacentral:rRNA from 1 species